CCCACGCUCAAUCCCCCAACUUCUUUCUUUUCUCUUUGAGGUGUGACUGACAUACAAAAAGGUGAACAUAUGUAACGUCUACAACUUGAUGAGUUUCGACAUACAUAUACACCGUGAAGCCGUCACCACAGUAUAUGCCAUAAACCUGUCCAUCACCUCCAAGCAUUUCCUGCUGCCCUCUGAAUUUGUGAUGACACAACAUAAGACCUCCACUCAGCAAAGGCCAUAUUCCGUGGCAGAGAACAUGCUUACAGAGAACAUGUAAACUGAAAGGAGGAGAGACAAGGACAGAGGGCUUGGCUGACCUGGAGUGGGGUUCGGGGGCUGCCUGGUGUAGGACACGUUGAACGCCGGCUCCUCGAUCAGCGGCGGGGGGUACAUGCGCCUCCGGAUGAAGAAGCCGGCUCCACAGCAGAAGAGCACGCCCAUCAUCAGGAGGAACCUGGGCGAGAGCACAGGGUUCUAAGUAUGGCUGAACCUUCUACCAUGACCCUACAGUCUAAUGGACACAGAGCGGACGGCUAAGGAUCGGACCUUUGUCCAAAUCAUCUAAGAAUUCUCAGAUGUAUCACUGGCAUUCAAUAAAUAAUGAAUGACUCUUCCCACCUCA